GCAGCAGGCUUUGUCAUGGGAAAGAAGAGUCUUGGCAAGAGAAAAGUUUCUGACAUAUCUGAAGAUAACAUCUGGGAGAUAACUACGAAAUUUGAGAGUGAGAUGGAUGCAUGGAUAAGUCUCUCUUCCUCAUUCUACACUCUAAUCUGAGUGAACGUGUAUGAACUAAAUUGCUGAUGAAUGCAAAUAACGUUGUUUC